rnacentral:rRNA from 1 species
CCUACGGGUGGCAGCAGUAGGGAAUCUUCCACAAUGGGCGCAAGCCUGAUGGAGCAACACCGCGUGAGUGAAGAAGGGUUUCGGCUCGUAAAGCUCUGUUGUUGGAGAAGAACGUGCGUGAGAGUAACUGUUCACGCAGUGACGGUAUCCAACCAGAAAGUCACGGCUAACUACGUGCCAGCAGCCGCGGUAAUACGUAGGUGGCAAGCGUUAUACAGAUUUAUUGGGCGUAAAGCGAGCGCAGGCGGUUGAUUAGGGCCGAUGUGAAAGCCUACGGCUUAACCGUAGAAGUGCAUCGGAAAUCGUGCGACUUGAGUGCAGAAGAGGACGGUGGAACUCCAUGUGUAGCGGUAGAAUGCGUAGAUAGAUGGACGAACACCAGUGGCGAAGGCGGCUGUCUGGUCUGCAACUGACGCUGAGGCUCGAAAGCAUGGGUAGCGAACAGGAUUAGAUACCCGUGUAGUC